rnacentral:misc_RNA from 1 species
GAUGAAGAACGUAGCGAAAUGCGAUACGUAAUGUGAAUUGCAGAAUUCAGUGAAUCAUCGAAUCUUUGAACGCAUAUUGCGCUCUCUGGUAUUCCGGAGAGCAUGCUUGUUUGAGUAUCAGUAAACACCUCAACUCCCUUUUCUUUUUUGAAAUGGGAGCUGGACUUGAGUGAUCCCAACGCUUUUCUCACCGGAAAGUGGCGGGUUACUUGAAAUGCAGGUGCAGCUGGACUUUUCUCUGAGCUAUAAGCAUAUCUAUUUAGUCUGCCUAAAAACAGAUUUUUACCUUUGCUGCAGCUAACAUAAAGGAGAUUAGUUCUUGUGCUGACUGAUGCAGGAUUCACAGAGACAGCUUCGGCUGACUUUGUAAACUCGAUCUCAAAUCAAGUAAGACUACCCGCUGAACUUAAGCAUAUCAAUAAGCGGAGGA